UACGGAGGGUGCGAGCGUUGUCCGGAAUCACUGGCGUAAAGAGCGUGUAGGCGGCCAGACAGGUCAGCUGUGAAAACUCGAGGCUCAACCUCGAGACGUCGGUUGAAACCGUCUGGCUAGAGUCCGGAAGAGGAGAGUGGAAUUCCGGUGUAGCGGUGAAAUGCGCAGAUAUCGGAGGAACACCGGUGGCGAAGGCGGUUCUACUGGGCCUUAC
rnacentral:rRNA from 1 species